UACAGGGGGUGCAAGCGUUGUUCGGAAUCAUUGGGCGUAAAGGGCGUGUAGGCGGUCUGUUAAGUCAUGUGUGAAAUCCCUCGGCUCAACCGGGGAACGACGCAUGAAACUGACAAGCUAGAGUACCAAAGAGGGGGAUGGAAUUCCCGGUGUAGUGGUGAAAUGCGUAGAUAUCGGGAGGAACACCAGUGGCGAAGGCGACUAUCUGGGCUGCAACUGACGCUGAGGCGCGAAGGCUAGGGUAGCAAACAGG
rnacentral:rRNA from 1 species